rnacentral:rRNA from 1 species
GAAGGCAGCAGGCGCGCAACUUACCCUAAUCUCGAUUCGAGGAGGUAGUGACAAGAAAUACCGAUGCGGGACCCUACGGGUGCCGCGUUCGGAAUGAGUACGAUUCGAACCACCUAACGAGGAACGAUCGGAGGUCAAGUCUGGUGCCAGCAGCCGCGGUAAUUCCAGCUCCAAUAAGGAAAACUAAAGUUGCUGUGUUUAAAAAGCUCGUAGUUGAAUUUCGGGUAUUUGUUGCUAGUUGGUCUUUUCGGCCAUAUUGGUUAACAGAUCCUCACUUGCUGGACGGCUGGCGAUGAUCUUUAUCGGUUGUCGUCAGUUGCCAGAACGUUUACUUUGAGAAAAUUAGAGUGCUAAAAGCAGGCUCACGCCUAUAUAUAUUGCAUGGAAUAAUGAAAUAAGAUCUCGAUUUUAUUUCGUUGGUUUUAGAAAUUGAGAUAAUGAUUAAUAGGAUCAGAG